rnacentral:rRNA from 1 species
GGGGAAUUACGAGUUCACUCCCAACCCCUGUGAACAUACCUUAAUGUUGCCUCGGCGGAUCAGCCCGCGCCCCGUAAAACGGGACGGCCCGCCAGAGGACCCAAACUCUAAUGUUUCUUAUUGUAACUUCUGAGUAAAACAAACAAAUAAAUCAAAACUUUCAACAACGGAUCUCUUGGUUCUGGCAUCGAUGAAGAACGCAGCAAAAUGCGAUAAGUAAUGUGAAUUGCAGAAUUCAGUGAAUCAUCGAAUCUUUGAACGCACAUUGCGCCCGCUGGUAUUCCGGCGGGCAUGCCUGUUCGAGCGUCAUUUCAACCCUCAAGCCCCCGGGUUUGGUGUUGGGGAUCGGCUCUGCCUUCUGGCGGUGCCGCCCCCGAAAUACAUUGGCGGUCUCGCUGCAGCCUCCAUUGCGUAGUAGCUAACACCUCGCAACUGGAACGCGGCGCGGCCAUGCCGUAAAACCCCAACUUCUGAAUGUUGACCUCGGAUCAGGUAGGAAUACCCGCUGAACUUAAGCAUAUCAAAGCUCCGGGAAGAAGG